rnacentral:rRNA from 1 species
UACCAGCUCUCCGAGUGGUGGGGAUGCUUAUUGGGCCUAAAGCAUUCGUAGCCUGCUUGACAAGUCCUCCGUUAAAUCCAACGAUUCAAUCGUUGGGCUGCGGGGGAUACUGUCCGGCUAGGGGGCGGGAGAGGCCGACGGUAUCCUCGGGGUAGGGGUGAAAUCCUAUAAUCCCGGGAGGACCACCAGUGGCGAAGGCUGUCGGCUAGAACGCGCUCGACGGUGAGGGAUGAAAGCUGGGGGAGCGAACCGGAUUAGAUACCCGGGUAGUCCCAGCUGUAAACGAUGCAGGCUAGGUGUUGGCGCGGCUACGUGCCGCUCCAGUGCCGCAGGGAAGCCGUUAAGCCUGCCGCCUGGGAAGUACGGCCGCAAGGCUUAAACUUAAAGGAAUUGGCGGGGAGCACCACAAGGUGUGAAGCUUGCGGUUU